CUUAAAUCAAAUUUAAAGUUCCUCCGUUCUUCAACAUUUCCAACGCUUUACCAAAGUUCGAGGCUCUUCCGUUCUUCUUCUAGGUUUCCUAAGCUUUACCGUAAUUAGUCUCAACCACUUGUAUUCGAGAAAGAAGAACCAUCGGCAAAAUCGCACCUGACUGAACUUGUAAUCGUUUGGCGUCUUCAACAAUGGGAAGGAAGCAGAGGAAAUAGAGAGAGACGUCAUCACUCUGCGGUCAGGGUCUUGGAUUCGAGAUGACGCCGCUGCUAGGAGUUUCAGUGGCGGUGACCAAGAAAAUAAAGACGAAGAAGAGGGUUUGAUAGCAAAGAAGACGAUGAUUAACCGGGUUCGCUUCAGGACAGGGGUUUGAUUGCAAAGAAGACGAAGAAGAGGGUUCUCUUUAGGACAGGGGACAACGGGUUUAGUUUGUUCGAUUCUAGAGAAGACGAAUAAGAGGAGAGAGAAAGAUAGAGCCUAGCAGAGUUGGUUUGGUUUUGUUUGAUUGCAGAGAAGGCGAAGAAGAGAGUGAAAUCCCUGUUCGGUUUGUUCGAUUGUAGAGAAGGCGAAGAAGAGAGAAAUCCCUGUUCGGUUUGUUCGAUUGCAAGCUCCCUACCUCGCCUCGCCACUGCAUCUCUGGUUCAGUCGAUGAGGUGCUUACAGUUGUCGCCGGUGAUGAGGAAAAGUAGGGAGUAAAGUUUCAUUGAAACACCGCUGGAGUUCGAGUAACCAUUGGAAAACAUGGGCAUGAACGAUCGAGACUCACCUUUGAUCGGUCAGUCAAUGCCAUAUUUGAAGCCCAAAAAGACAAUUGACCUCUCUUCCUUUGUUCUUUAUUUUCAUAUCUGUUGUCUGUCAUAUUAUAUUUUUAUUUUAUUUUAUCUCUUAUUAUUAUUAUUAUUAUUAUUAUUAUUAUUAUUAUUAUCCUAUCGAGGCCUUUAUUCAUUUUGUGGUACAUAGAUUGAUUAUAGUAUUCUAAUUCAUUUUGGCUAGAUCUGUUCCCACCAAAAAUUUUUGAACCAUUACCAGUUACAACCUUGGAAAAUGAAUCUCUACUAACCACCUACACUCAUGCGCAUGGCUGGUGGAGACUCACCUAUGUAAUGAAGUUAUGGGCAAGAUAUCUUCUUCUUCUUCUUGUAUGGAAGCUUAAUAUGUGAUUGGUCAGUCAGUGCCAUAUUUGAUGUUCAGAUAGACAAAUGGCUUCUCUUAUUUCUUUA